CCUACGGGGGGCAGCAGUGGGGGAUAUUGCACAAUGGGGGAAACCCUGAUGCAGCGACGCCGCGUGGGUGAAGAAGCGCCUCGGCGCGUAAAGCCCUGUCAGCAGGGAAGAAAAUGACGGUACCUGAAGAAGAAGCCCCGGCUAACUACGUGCCAGCAGCCGCGGUAAUACGUAGGGGGCAAGCGUUAUCCGGAUUUACUGGGUGUAAAGGGGGCGCAGACGGCGAUGCAAGCCAGGAGUGAAAGCCCGGGGCCCAACCCCGGGACGGCUCUUGGACCUGCGUGGCUAGAGUGCAGGAGGGGCAG
rnacentral:rRNA from 1 species